UCUCUAGAACACAAGAAAAUUACAAAAAAAAAUUCUGAAAAGCAGCUGAUUAACUUGGACCUUCCAAGGGAAAAAUGCUUUCCUUUAAAAAGAUUCCCUGCCUGCCACGUGCUGCCAUCCUCAACCCCCAUGUGAAAAGACUGAGGGAAAGAGAAGUCACGUAACUUCAUAGCUACCUACUUGGGACUAAAGCAAAACAACCCAGAAGGAACGCUUUCUAAGAAUAAAGAAAAACGAAACAAAUGCCUCAUCUUGUCAUCCUGCUUCUGCCUCAAGACUUUAAGUAGUGGCAAAUCCAUUGCCUGGUGGAGCAACCUAGCUGUCUUUGGAUCAUGCUAAUUGAGACACAGAACUCCUUCUUAGCAUGUCACCUUCUAUGUAGUCCUAGAGUUAGUUGCCCUCUGGAGACACACAAGACAAGUCCAAUCUCUCUUCCAUGUGCAAGUCCUUUACUCAUUAGGAAACCACAACCAUGUGCCUUUUAAGACUGGCCUUAGGUCCCCAGGCUCCAACACCA